AGGUUGCCUUGACAGCUUGGAACCUGGGUUCCUUGGGGAGGAACUUCUGCUCAGCAUAAACAGACAUGUAGUCACCAAACACAAACUUGGGAUAAGUUUGUUCUGCUUCCAGCUUGUGUUGUAGGUAAAACUGUCAUGUUGGAUCACAGGAAAUCGUUGGGGAUUUGAACCGAACAGUUAGAGAUCUCAAGAGAUCUGGUGAUGGAUAUUAUAAAACAUCUCAGGUAUCUCCAAAAGCUUACUUGAAUCCUGAAGUCUUGGAUGGCCACUCGUUAUUAUCUGCGAGAGUGAAGACAUCUUCCCAGUCCACAUUGUCCAGCUUUUCGCCACUCUUUUUCUCGGCCAAUUCAUUCAACUUCUUGACAGGACCUGAGUUCUUGAAUUCUCCCUCUCUUUCACCAUGGAAACAGUCAGAGCAUACCUUCUUCACCCUCUCUAGUAGCUCCUCUGAAAUUCCAUGGUUUGCCAGCUGCAACACAAUUACACACCCUCAUCACAACCUUGUAGUACAUAUAUAUAUAUAUAUACACAUAUAUAAAUCUAUUAGAAGUAGACAGUAAUAGAAAAGAAAGAAGAAGAGAAGAGAAGAGUAGAGUACCUGGAAGAAACCCCACUCCUGACAUCCAUUGGCAAUCUGAGCCAAGACUUUGGCCCUCUCUUCUGGUGAACCAUUGAGUUUAGAGAAAUCAAUCACUGGAAUUGCCAUUGAACCAAAUAAUAAACACAAUGUCAAUGGUAGAGAGAGAGAGAGAGUUUGUGCCUGUAAUGGUAGUACUACUGGUGUUGUGGGGAUGGGAGGGUGUGUUUGGGUUGUUAUUUAUAGGGAAGUUUCCCGCCAAAUGGUUAUUGUCAACGCAAUAAUAUACUAAUAUUUUAGGGUUUGGAUUUGUUUAUUGUUA